rnacentral:tRNA from 1 species
GGAGAGUAGGCAAAUAUUGGUUUGUUGCGCCUGUUUGCUAAACAGGUCCGGGUAAUACCGGUGCAGGUUCAAUCCCUGUGCUCUCCGCCA